ensembl:lncRNA
GCUGGUUACUGAAACCCUUAUGUAUUCAUUAUAAGCUUUGGGACAUUUGACAGGUUUUUUUCAGUUACUUUAUUAUAAUAUCCUAAACGUGAAAAACUUUAUAAACUGCUAUGUAUGACCUCAUGUUGUAUGGGCCAAGACUGCCUCACAAAUCUUAAUUUGUUUAUUCCUGUUACUAGUUUCUUCCUUUGUUUUUAUAUUCAUUUACCCUUCAGGUACACAAAAGAAAGUGUAAAAUUAUGCUUUUUAUCCCUUCUUACCCCCAACCCUUUUUUUAAUAUAAGUAGGUUUUCAGGAAAACUCUACAUCAUUAGUUACUGAGAUGUUUCAAAGUGAAUAAGCAUUUAUAUAGCUUUAUAUGUUUGCUAUGGAAGAUGAUUUUUUAUUAAUAGAGUAAUGAACCAAGGAAUAGGUUAUUAGGGAGAGCUAGUAAAUAUCUUUUAUGUGUAAACCCUCAUUAAAUUGGAAUUUGUUACAUUUUCUACAUGCUAGGUGGAAGUGUUGUUUUGUUUUUGCAUUAAUUAGGAAGGUGUUUUCUACAAAAGUUGAUAUGGAUAUAAAGGAGGAAAAAUGUAGAACCUGUUCAUAAACUACUUUCAUCAUAUGUGCUUGUAAAGAAUGAAUGCAAAUUAUUCUCACCUAUAUAUACCAAAAAUUAUCUAAAACAGGGUUGUAGUUCUCCAUGUAUUUUAAGAAAAAUGUCAUUUUAUGAUUUAAGUUCCAUAACUCAACCUUUUAAUAGUGUUGAUCUGACCCAGCCCCACUGAAGGCAACAUACUAUAAGGUUUUACUGUAUGCUUAAAUACCUGGAGUCUUUUCAAGAAAUCCUUUAAAACAGAGUAAUGGGGGGGGGGGGGGGGGGGGGGAGGAGAAGAAGGAGAGGAAGUUGGUCUUAAGACCACAGAGAACUGAUAAGAUGGACUUAGAAUUCACCUAUUGGUUUUUUUUUUUUUUUUUUUAGCAAACAAUUAGGAUAGUAUAAAUGUAUAAUUUCUUAUUUACAGAGGUGUCAACUUAAAACUAUUAGCAAUCAUUUCUUACCUUUCUCAAUGUAGUUACUACCAGAAUAGGCUUUUUAUGUGCCCCUCCCUCUCUUUUCUGUGUUUCUUCUCUUCUAGUUGCCAUUUGUCUAAAGGUUACCUUAUGGAACUGAGGUCUUUACAUCAUUUUUGCCUAUCAACUACUUGAUAAUAUGAUCAAAAACUCAACAUGAUAGCAGCAGGGACCUUUGGCAAUUAAACUCUCAGCCCUGAUUUUCUAGUGCUGGCCUGACUAAAAUUUCUAUCUGGAGUUUAAUAGGACUUUUCAAACUUUAUAAGGAAUACACAGGCAUAUCUAGCACUGAUUCAUUUUGCUCAAGUUAUCUUUAUAUCUUCUUAAAUCAGAAUUCAUGCUCAGGUCCAUUAAAAAAAAAACCUUAAAUUUAGAGAAGCUGAUAGAGCAAAACAAUUUGAAAAAACAUUUGCCUACUGUUGAAAAGUCAUCAGUUUUAUUAUGAAAACCAUCUUAGACACUAAGCUUAAGCAGAUUUCUUUUGAUAUUUGCCAAAUGAGGUGCUAAUUUAUAAUUAUUUUGUUAGCUUUGCUAUGUAGAAGAAAACAGGUAAAGGGGGAAACUAAUGAAAGAAUCUUAUUUUCUUAGAACAUGCCUAUGGUUUUGUUAUGAUUGUAGUGGCAUAUUCACAUAUGAUGUAUACUUAAAUGCUUAAGAACUUGAAAAUUCACUCAUGGCUUUAUUAUAUGCAGUUUUCAAAAUUUGUGGAAGUUAUAUUACAUGAUGGUUAGGAAUUUAAUCAGUAUUUGAGUUACAAAAAGCAACGCACUGCAUCACUAUAUUCAGCUUAUUUAUUCAUCUUUUUAUUUCUUAACAUGAAAGGGUAGUAUGACAAAGGUGCAAUAUUCCUAGUUAUUUUUUUUAAAUUAAAUUGAAGCUUACAACAUUAUUCAAGUCAAAAUUUAGAUUUUUUUUAGAUAGUAAUUUAACAACUUGAUUUAUAUGUUAUAUAUUUUUUCUUUUAGUUCUAAUACUUCACAAAAAUAUUGCUUUGGACAGCAUUAGAUGAGGUAAUUCAGUUCUCUGCAUUUCAUGUAGCUGGUAGUUAAUAGCUUGUUUUUAUCAAUGCUCAUUUUACACCUUUUUUUGCAUGUUACUUUUUCUUAUGC